GACGAACGCUGGCGGCGUGCCUAAUACAUGCAAGUAGAACGCUGAAGGAGGAGCUUGCUCUUCUGGAUGAGUUGCGAACGGGUGAGUAACGCGUAGGUAACCUGCCUGGUAGCGGGGGAUAACUAUUGGAAACGAUAGCUAAUACCGCAUAACAUUGACUAUUGCAUGAUAGUCAAUUGAAAGGUGCAAAUGCACCACUAUCAGAUGGACCUGCGUUGUAUUAGCUAGUUGGUGGGGUAACGGCUCACCAAGGCGACGAUACAUAGCCGACCUGAGAGGGUGAUCGGCCACACUGGGACUGAGACACGGCCCAGACUCCUACGGGAGGCAGCAGUAGGGAAUCUUCGGCAAUGGACGGAAGUCUGACCGAGCAACGCCGCGUGAGUGAAGAAGGUUUUCGGAUCGUAAAGCUCUGUUGUAAGAGAAGAACGAGUGUGAGAGUGGAAAGUUCACA
rnacentral:rRNA from 1 species